UAUGCAGAUGCGUGAAACGCAGGAGCAGAUGAUAAACAGUCUGGAUGUAGAAGAGUAGAGACCAAAGUACUACCAGGCAAUGGACAGCGAACUCAUGAAGUCUUGACGUUAUUCUUUGGUUCAACACGUAAAACCGUUAAGGGUGCGGAUAAUCAAAGGACACAGCGAUGAGGUACUGGGGUAGCUGCUUCAAGAUGAGAAGACUGGGAUGCCAAGGACACUUUAAUUGCAGACGGGGAAAUGAGACAGAAAGACCAACCUGAGAUGGCAAAGCGACAGUGAAAACUAGCAAAUCUUUGAAAUUUAGGCGCAGCCCAGGACAGCCUGAGGCCCAAGGUAGCUUAAGACACAGAUACUGGCCUAGUGGGCAAUGGGGAGAAACUGAGGCGGGGGGGAGCGGCUGGAUUCCCAAAUAGGACCAAGCCUAAAACAUUAAAGUCAAGACACAAACCAGCUUUGCAGAGGGACCAGAGGGAGGGCCAAAUACGCAAGACUCAGAAGACCGGCACCCACCCAGACAGGGGGAACCGGUUUGGGCAGGGGCUCCCAAGAGCGGCCCAGCCUGCGCAUGCGCCCUCUCCCCUCCGUCGCAACUCCCCCUCCCCCCAAUCACGGCUCCCCUCAGAACUCGGCCCGUCGAGGGAGCUGAGCGGAGCUCCACUGGCCCGACCCCGCGGGAUGAGAAGACGGCUUGGCUCUCCGCAGGGGCCGUCGAAAAUACCCCUGGGGUUGGUCCGCGACCACGACGAGCGACCCUAUUGGCCCAAUACCGGGAAGCGAGGCGGAGCUUCCUCUUUCCGAGCCCCACCUGGGUUUUCAGCGCGCCUCAGGACUGUGCGCCUGCGCGAAGUGCACAGGCUGUGAGCUGGACUUUGGCUGCGCUCUGUAUCUGGAGUUGGACAGGCGGCCGGGACUGGGGAAUAUGGAAGCGGACUGGGUAGUACCUGUUGAGCCGAACAAAGGGUACAACCUCAGAGUACUGGUGCUUGAGCAAGGAAUCCCCCUGCUCAUCUUUCAUGUGCUGCAAGUCCUGUUUGAAAAUCAGUACUUCACAGCGUAAUAAAAUUCACUUGGCAUUUA